AUGCAGGUGGAAUACAGGGCGCUCAUGGAGAACCGGACGUGGACACUCGUGUCGCGCCCUCGGAACGCCAACAUUGUCACCGGCAAAUGGUUGUUCCACCACAAACUCAACUCCGACGGCAGCCUGGAGCGCUACAAGGCCCGCUGGGUGCUUCGAGGUUUCACUCAACGUCCCGGCGUGGACUUCAACGAAACCUUCUCGCCCGUUGUCAAGGCCGCCACGAUCCGGGUCGUCCUCACGAUCGCCGCCUCGCGCCAGUGGCCUGUCCACCAGAUGGACGUGAACAAUGCCUUCCUCCACGGCCGUCUCACCGAGCAGGUGUACUGCCAAUAG
rnacentral:rRNA from 1 species